rnacentral:lncRNA from 1 species
UCUUGAGUUGCGAACCCAGCUGCUACAUUCCAUGUGUCAAGCUCAACUCCUCAAUGACGUCGUGUUACUUCAUAUCUUGUUAUUCUUCGUGAACUUAUCAACAACACAACCUUGCAUUUAAAAUCACGAACCUUUUCAAGUGCUUAAACAUAAACCAGACCAUUCUUCUGCAAGUUGAUUUCCUCCUUAUCCUUUCGAUUCCACUCAUGUGCACUGAGCCUUAAACCAAAUUACCUGAAUUCUGUGCAGCUACCUCAAAAUCAUACAUGCUCCACACCGGAACAAUCCUUGAUUCGACUAUUUCUCUUGCUUAAACAUGUCAGCCUUGGACAUCUUCUUGUAUUGAUGUUACUUCGAACAAGAUCCGCCAUCCAACGAUCAUUGCUGGACAGACUUUCGACACAACCUUGGUUCACCAUUCUUGUUGUUAACAGAAAUUGCUAUCACAUAAUUCUCAUUGAAUCAACAACAAACCCUUGAAGUCACUCAUGCGCUAUAUCUCUGAAACAAUCUUUGACUUACCCUUGAUGUUCUUGAACCGAUUACACUUGAGCAUUACUUUGUAUCGCUACUAUCACAAGUAGGUCACGUCGCCUAAAACCACAUGAUUAAGAAGAUUUUUGACACAAAUAUCUUUGCUCCACCAUCUGAUCAACCUGAUCUGCAACAACAAAACCCCACUGCUAGUUAAAUGAACUGAGCCUCAUACCAUAUAAUCUAUGAUACGCCUUGGCUCUCCUCACGAGCUGCAUGUGAUAUCU